UAGGGGCGUAGUUCAAUUGGUAGAGCACCGGUCUCCAAAACCGGAUGUUGGGAGUUCGAUUCUCUCCGCCCCUGUCCA
rnacentral:tRNA from 1 species